CCUACGGGGGGCUGCAGUGGGGAAUAUUGGACAAUGGGGGCAACCCUGAUCCAGCCAUGCCGCGUGUGUGAAGAAGGCCCUCGGGGUGUAAAGCACUUUCAGUGAGGAAGAACGCCUGGUGGUUAAUACCCAUCAGGAAAGACAUCACUCACAGAAGAAGCACCGGCUAACUCCGUGCCAGCAGCCGCGGUAAUACGGAGGGUGCGAGCGUUAAUCGGAAUUACUGGGCGUAAAGCGCGCGUAGGUGGCUUGAUAAGCCGGUUGUGAAAGCCCCGGGCUCAACCUGGGAACGGCAUCCGGAACUGUCAAGCUAGAGUGCAGGAGAGGAAGGUAGAAUUCCCGGUGUAGCGGUGAAAUGCGUAGAGAUCGGGAGGAAUACCAGUUGCGAAGGCGGCCUUCUGGAGUGAAACUGACACUGAGGUGCGAAAGCGUGGGUAGCAAACAGGAUUAGAUACCCCAGUAGUC
rnacentral:rRNA from 1 species